rnacentral:rRNA from 1 species
AGACUAAUCUCCCCGUGAAGAAGCGGGGAUAAUUAUAAAGACGAGAAGACCCCAUGGAGCUUUUGCCCACUACACUCCUUUUUAACCCUACUUUUUAACCCCUAGGAUUUUGUAUGUUCUGGUUUUAGGUUGGGGUGACCGCGGAGCAUAAAUUAGCCUCCACAAUGAAUAGACCUUCUCUUUAUCCAAGACUUACAGUUCUCAUAAUUAGCACUCUAACAUACCACGAUCCGAUAUUCGAUCAACGAAUCCAGUGACCCUGGGGAUGACAGCG